AAUAGAUACCCGGGUAGUCCACGCCGUAAACGAUGUCGACUUGGAGGUUGUUCCCUUGAGGAGUGGCGUUCCGGAGCUAACGCGUUAAGUCGACCGCCUGGGGAGUACGGCCGCAAGGUUAAAACUCAAAUGAAUUGACGGGGGCCCGCACAAGCGGUGGAGCAUGUGGUUUAAUUCGAUGCAACGCGAAGAACCUUACCUACUCUUGACAUCCAGAGAACUUAGCAGAGAUGCUUUGGUGCCUUCGGGAACUCUGAGACAGGUGCUGCAUGGCUGUCGUCAGCUCGUGUUGUGAAAUGUUGGGUUAAGUCCCGCAACGAGCGCAACCCUUAUCCUUUGUUGCCAGCGGUUAGGCCGGGAACUCAAAGGAGACUGCCAGUGAUAAACUGGAGGAAGGUGGGGAUGACGUCAAGUCAUCAUGGCCCUUACGAGUAGGGCUACACACGUGCUACAAUGGCGCAUACAAAGAGAAGCGACCUCGCGAGAGCAAGCGGACCUCAUAAAGUGCGUCGUAGUCCGGAUUGGAGU
rnacentral:rRNA from 1 species